rnacentral:rRNA from 1 species
AGUGAACGCUGGCGGUAGGCCUAACACAUGCAAGUCGAACGGCAGCACAGUAAGAGCUUGCUCUUACGGGUGGCGAGUGGCGGACGGGUGCGGAAUACAUCGGAAUCUACUUUUUCGUGGGGGAUAACGUAGGGAAACUUACGCUAAUACCGCAUACGACCUACGGGUGAAAGCAUGGGAUCUUCGGACCUUGCGCGAUUGAAUGAGCCGAUGUCGGAUUAGCUAGUUGGCGGGGUAAAGGCCCACCAAGGCGACGAUCCGUAGCUGGUCUGAGAGGAUGAUCAGCCACACUGGAACUGAGACACGGUCCAGACUCCUACGGGAGGCAGCAGUGGGGAAUAUUGGACAAUGGGCGCAAGCCUGAUCCAGCCAUACCGCGUGGGUGAAGAAGGCCUUCGGGUUGUAAAGCCCUUUUGUUGGGAAAGAAAAGCAGCAGGUUAAUACCCCGCUGUUCUGACGGUACCCAAAGAAUAAGCACCGGCUAACUUCGUG